ACAUUCCUACAUCAUAGUAUUAAUGCAUUGGAUCCCAUUAAAACUCUACAAUUAAGCAUGCUUGGGCUAGAGUAGUACUAGGAUGGGUGACCGCACGAGAAGUCCUAGUAUUUUAAAUGCC
rnacentral:rRNA from 1 species